GGAUGGUGCCCACCCAGAGUGAGGGUGGGUCUGCCUCUCCCAGCCCGCUGACUCGAAUGUCAAUCUCCUCUGGCAACGCCCUCACAGACACGCCCACAAACAAUACUUUACCAGCUAUCUAGGCAUCCCUCAAUCCAAUCAAGUUGACACCUAAUAUUAACCAUCACACCAAUUAAAAAUAAAAUAAAGGUAAAAUGAAGAUACUUCAGGCAAGAAAAAACUUUGAAAAUGCAUUGCCAGUAGACCAACACUAAAAGAAGUAUUAAAGGAAAUGAUUCAAGAUAGAAACACGAAAAGGUAGAAAUAAAUGAGGAGUGCUGGGAAUGGUAAAUAUAUUGGUAUAUGGGUAAAUAUAAGUAAAUUCUGACAACUUAAACCAAAAGUAACAAUGUUCUCAGGAAAUUAAAAUAUAUGUAGAAUUAAAUACAUGAUAACGUAGCACAAAAAGCAGAAGGAGAGAAAUGGACUAAUGGUGUUGUACUAACAACACUUGCCAUGGUAACAUCCAAAACUAAACAGAAUGUAACAAGCCAACAAUGAGUAUUCUACUCUCUAGGGCAGGGGUUCCCAACCUCUGGGCCAUGGACAGGUAGCAGUCUGUGGCCUGUUAGGAACCAGGCCGCACAGCAGGAGGCUCAAGCCGUCUGUGUAAUUAUCUUAAACUUUUUCAUUUCGGAAAUGAAACAGCUCCUCCCUUCACCGCCACCUUGGCUAUUUCUGGGACCAAAGGAAUCCUUGAAGCUGACCGGGCAGGAGAGUCCACGCUGGGAGUAAAAUCACUACAAACGUUUGUAGGGGGGCCCUGGCUGAAUUAGUUCAAUUUCAGGGAGAAAACUGGUGUGUGUGUGUGUGUGUGUGUGUGUGUGUAAAAUCACUGCAAAUGUCUGUCGGGGCGUGGCUGGAUUAGCUCAGUUUCCGGGAGAAAACUGGUGUGUGUGUGUGUGUGUGUGUGUGUUGUGUGUGUGUGUGUGUUGGGAGGAAGGGGGAGGAAGGAGGAGGGCAUUCUCUGGUGGAGGAGAAACAGCCUGAGCUUCUCCCCUUCCCAUGUCUUUCACAGCAGCUCAUACACUGUUUUCUCGCCUUGCAAUGCCCAACUUUCUACCUAAUGACCUACCCUCCCCUAAGGCCCUGCUCAACUCACCUUCACUGAGAAAUCUUCUCUGGCCUUCAGCCCUUUUCUUAAAGCCCAAGGUCUCUGAAGCUGCACUUGAUUGGUUGGAUACUGUAUUAGACCAUUCCCACGCUGCUAAUAAAAACAUACCUGAGACUGGUGUCCAUCAGAAGGCCCCUGCUGAGUAGUUGGCAGGGUGGCUGCACAUAAUGGAAAGCACAUAAGCUUGAAGCCAGACAGAUGGGAGUUCUAACCCCAGCCCUGCCACUUAUUCCCAGGUGACACUGAGUGGAAAUUAGGCCAAAAUAAAUACUACUUUCUGCUUAAAAAAAUGCAGUGAUGUCCAAAGAGAAGGGAGGAGGAAGGAUGAAAGGAAAGACAGAGGAGGAAGGAAGAGAAGAAAGAAGAGUGGCCGGCACAAGGGCUUGGAGAUCCCUGAAGCUGUUUUCCUUUCUCCUCACCCCCACAGGGAGGGAUCCACAUCGUUGUGGGGUUUUUGUUGUUGUUGUUUUUGUUUUUGUUUUUUUGCCUCCCUUCAUCAAAGCAUUCAUUGUAGUGUAUGGUAAUUGUCUCUGAAUGUAACAGCCUCUCUUCCCUGAGGCCUGGGUCUGCUUGUUUCAUACCAUCUUCUCCUUAACACACAGUGCUUGGUAAACAAUACCUAUUAAUAAACAUUUGUUGAAUGAAUGAAUGAGUGAAUGAACGAAUACUGCACUCUUUCGACUUGGUUAGAGACAUGUCUUGUAGGCUGGCAUGUACUUCACACAGCACUCUUAGGUAGAGUUUGUAUAUGUUAUUCCAUUGAAGGGAAAAGGAAGCCAGACUGUGGGGAGAAAAAAAAAAAAAAAA
rnacentral:lncRNA from 1 species